CACGGGGGGAGCAAGCGUUGUUCGGAAUCACUGGGCGUAAAGGGCGUGUAGGCGGUCAAGUAAGUGGGAUGUGAAAUCCUUCGGCUUACCCGAAGACCUGCAUCUCAAACUGCUUGGCUUGAGUAUGGGAGAGGAUGAGGGAAUUCCUAGUGUAGCGGUGAAAUGCGUAGAGAUUAGGAAGAACACCAGUGGCGAAGGCGACUUACUGGACUGUAACUGACGACUGAG
rnacentral:rRNA from 1 species